rnacentral:rRNA from 1 species
UNCCACGUGUAGCAGUGAAAUGCGUAGAGAUGUGGAGGAAUACCGAUGGCGAAGGCAGCCCCCUGGGAUAAUACUGACGUUCAUGCUCGAAAGCGUGGGUAGCAAACAGGAUUAGAUACCCUGGUAGUCCACGCCCUAAACGAUGUCGAUUAGCUGUUGGGCAACUUGAUUGCUUAGUAGCGUAGCUAACGCGUGAAAUCGACCGCCUGGGGAGUACGGUCGCAAGAUUAAAACUCAAAGGAAUUGACGGGGACCCGCACAAGCGGUGGAUGAUGUGGAUUAAUUCGAUGCAACGCGAAGAACCUUACCUGGUCUUGACAUGAACGGAAGAACUCAGAGACGAGUUUGUGCCUUCGGGAGCCGUAACACAGGUGCUGCAUGGCUGUCGUCAGCUCGUGUCGUGAGAUGUUGGGUUAAGUCCCGCAACGAGCGCAACCCUUGUCAUUAGUUGCCAUCAUUUAGUUGGGCACUCUAAUGAGACUGCCGGUGACAAACCGGAGGAAGGUGGGGAUGACGUCAAGUCCUCAUGGCCCUUAUGACCAGGGCUUCACACGUCAUACAAUGGUCGGUACAGAGGGUAGCCAAGCCGCGAGGUGGAGCCAAUCCCAGAAAACCGAUNGUAGUCCGGAUUGCACUCUGCAACUNGAGUGCAUGAAGUCGGAAUCGCUAGUAAUCGCAGAUCAGCAUACUGCGGUGAAUACGUUCCCGGGUCUUGUACACACCGCCCGUCACACCAUGGGAGUGGGGGAUACCAGAAG